CCUGAUUAUUCAAUAAUUCCAGUAAUUCAGAUUGGCUCUCGACUGUUAUUAUGCUUUUGCGAACUACUCUGGUCAUUUUUCAAAAAAGUGCUGCUCGAAACUCCGAACCCGUCGGCCGUUUAUACUUAUAGUUUGCCACGGGAUAAAUCGUUGGCCACUUUGCUCUGGGACAGCUCUCUUGUGUUGACCUUAAUAAUCCAGGGCAUUUGACGUUAAACCACAACGGCACAACGGUGGUCCCGAAGUUAUAAUUAAACCGGAACCUAGCAUUUUUUCAUAGCAGCACUUUCUAAAGAGUUAUUUCUCUUGGAAACUCACUGCCAUCAGUCAGAUUAGUAUGCAACCAGGAAAUUGUCAACGUCACCCGGAAGCAGCAGAUGAUUGUAUGUUCCAUCAAACGCAACAUGGGGUUAAAAAGAUGUGGCACUGUAGACAGCCUCCAGUUCCUAAUUCAUUAGACGAUUUAGUAGAAAUGUUAGAUGACAAAUAGGUAUUGCCAAACCAUUCGAAGACGUCCAUCUAGUGGUGUCCUCAAGUUCAUGAAACACAAAUUUUCCAAAGUAAGUGGCCUCGUUUCGUGUAUUUUACAUUAAUUCCCAAUGGUGUAUGCUUUCCUAGUAUUAAUUUACCAAAAAAGUUAUGAGGCACUUUUGAACAUUGUACGUAAUAUUCAGCCAUUGAAGUACUAACAGCUGUCUAUAAGAUGCCAUUGAUGAAUUGUGUAUUCGAUGUGAUGCCCAAGACCAUGUGAGUAAAUUAAUGAGUUCUUGGUUUUAAGUCUGCCAGAACUACAACAUGGUGUUUUUGUCACAUUUAAAAUACAAUACAGAAUUGUAUCAUUCUCAAUGGUGUAUGCGUUCCUGAUAUUAAUUUACCAAAGAAAGUUACUAGGCACUUUUGAACAUUGAAGUACUAACAGCUGUGUAUAUUAAGAUGAAUUAUGUUCUCGAUGUGAUGGCCGAGACCCUGAGAGCAAAUUAAUGAAUUCUUGUUUUAUUAUUGUCAGAUAGUCAUACGCUAUUGUACUUGGAAAAUUAAUAGCAUAUUAUAUCACCUGCUUCAAGGUAGCCCUGUUGCAGCUAGAGUUUGGAUAAUGGUAUUAGCUUCACAACUUUUACCUGAGAAAAGAGGCCAUCCAGAUUGUCCUUAAUAUAAUAUUAUUAAUGUCCAAGUAUUGAAGAACUUUUUUCAUUAGAUAUAUAGAGCGAUACUGUCAUAAGUUGGACCUACGAUUUUAAGUGUUUUUGGGUGUGAAUAUGGGACCAAUAAUAUUACCUGGAAAUUUUUCAUUCUGCUUAACUGACUCUAAUAUCAAAACAUCAAGCAUGGGAUUUUAUAUUUCACAGAUUAGAGAAUAUACUACUUCAAGAAAUGAGAAAUUUUUAAAAACGACAAUUAUUCAUCAACUCAUUCAUACAUUACAUGUUCAUGGGGACUUAGUAAAGGUCCUCAAGAGGGUAGGCCAUCAAAAUGAUGGAUAUGUUCAAGAUUAUAUUGGUCCA